AUGGCUAUGAGUACCUGGGCAACAGUGGGAGGCUGGUGAUCACGCCCCUCACCGACAGUGCUACCUGACACUGACCGGAGCUCUGCACCUCAAGUUUGGGGGUGCCCCAGCUGGCCCAGCUGGCACAGGCAAAACUGAGACCACCAAAGACCUGGGUAAGGCCUUGGCCAUACAGACCGUUGUGUUCAACUGCUCUGACCAGCUCGACUUCAUGGCCAUGGGCAAGUUCUUCAAGGGCCUGGCCAGGCUGGGGCCUGGGCCUGCUUCGACGAGUUCAAUCGCAUCGACAUCGAGGUGCUGUCUGUGGUGGCGCAGCAGAUCACCACCAUCCAGAAGGCGCAGCAGCAGCGGUGGAACGCUUCAUGUUUGAGGGUGUGGAGAUCCCACUGGUGCCAUCCUGCGCAGUGUUUAUCACCAUGAACCCGG
rnacentral:lncRNA from 1 species